GACGAACGCUGGCGGUGUGCCUAAUACAUGCAAGUUGAGCGCUGAAGGUUGGUACUUGUACCAACUGGAUGAGCAGCGAACGGGUGAGUAACGCGUGGGGAAUCUGCCUUUGAGCGGGGGACAACAUUUGGAAACGAAUGCUAAUACCGCAUAAAAACUUUAAACACAAGUUUUAAGUUUGAAAGAUGCAAUUGCAUCACUCAAAGAUGAUCCCGCGUUGUAUUAGCUAGUUGGUGAGGUAAAGGCUCACCAAGGCGAUGAUACAUAGCCGACCUGAGAGGGUGAUCGGCCACAUUGGGACUGAGACACGGCCCAAACUCCUACGGGAGGCAGCAGUAGGGAAUCUUCGGCAAUGGACGAAAGUCUGACCGAGCAACGCCGCGUGAGUGAAGAAGGUUUUCGGAUUGUAAAACUCUGUUGGUAGAGAAGAACGUUGGUGAGAGUGGAAAGCUCAUCAAGUGACGGUAACUACCCAGAAAGGGACGGCUAACUACGUG
rnacentral:rRNA from 1 species